rnacentral:rRNA from 1 species
AGUGAACGCUGGCGGUAGGCCUAACACAUGCAAGUCGAACGGCAGCACAGUAAGCGCUUGCUCUUACGGGUGGCGAGUGGCGGACGGGUGAGGCAUACAUCGGCAUCUACUUUUUCGUGGGGGAUAACGUAGGGAAACUUACGCUACUACCGCACACGGCCUACGGGUGGAAGCUGGGGAUCUUCGGACAUUGCCCGCUUUACUGGGCCGAUGUCGGAUUUGUUAGAUGGCGGGGUAAAGGCCAACUAAGGCGACGAACCGUAGCUGGUCGGCGAGGAUGACCAGCCAAACGGGAACUGAAACACGGUCCAGACUCCUACGGGAGGCAGCAGAGGGGAAUAUUGGACAAGGGGGGCAAGCCGGAUCCAGCCAUACCGCGUGGGUGAAGAAGGCCUUCGGGUUUUAAAGCCCUUUGUUUGGGAAAGAAAAGCAUCAGGUUAAUACCCCGCUGUUCUGACGGUACCCAAAGAAUAAGCACCGGCUAACUUCGUG